AAAUUUAUAGUAAGAGGAAAAUCCGUCGAUUUCUAAAAUCGUGAGGGUUCAAGUCCCUCUAUCCCCA
rnacentral:tRNA from 1 species